rnacentral:rRNA from 1 species
AUGAACGCUGGCGGCGUGCUUCACCCCUGCCAGUCGAACGAGAAAUGUAGACGGAAACCUUCGGGCGGAAGCCUUCAUUUCGAGUGGCGGACGGGUGAGUAACGCGUGGGUAACCUGCCUCAUACAGGGGGAUAACAGUUGGAAACGACUGUUAAUACCGCAUAGGACCACAGCAUCGCAUGAUGCGGGGGUAAAAACUCCGGUGGUAUGAGAUGGACCCGCGUUCGAUUAGCCAGUUGGCGGGGUAACGGCCCACCAAAGCGACGAUCGAUAGCCGAUCUGAGAGGAUGACCGGCCACAUUGGGACUGAGACACGGCCCAAACUCCUACGGGAGGCAGCAGUGGGGAAUAUUGCACAAUGGGGGAAACCCUGAUGCAGCGACGCCGCGUGAGUGAAGAAGUACUUCGGUAUGUAAAGCUCUAUCAGCAGGGAAGAAAAUGACGGUACCUGAGUAAGAAGCCCCGGCUAACUACGUG